CUCCGGGGUGUGUUAUAGCCUGGCGGACGAUACCCCCGUGGGGACCGAGGUUCGCGCUCCGCAAGGAUGCUGGCGUAAUGGUCACCAGUGACCCGUCUUGAAACACGGACCAAGGAGUCGUCCAUUAGAGCGAGCGUUUGGGUGUAAAACCCGCACGCGUAAUGAAAGUGAACGCAGGUGAGAGCUUCGGCGCAUCAUCGACCGAUCCUGAUGUUCUCGGAAGGAUUUGAGUAAGAGUUUUAACGGACGGACCCGAAAGACAGUGAACUAUGCUUGUAUAGGGUGAAGCCAGAGGAAACUCUGGUGGAGGCUCGCAGCGGUUCUGACGUGCAAAUCGAUCGUCAAAUAUGAGCAUGGGGGCGAAAGACUAAUCGAACUGUCUAGUAGCUGGUUACCGCCGAAGUUUCCCUCAGGAUAGCAGUGUUGAUCUUCAGUUUUAUGAGGUAAAGCGAAUGAUUAGGGACUCGGGGGCGCUAUAUAGCCUUCAUCCAUUCUCAAACUUUAAAUAUGUAAGAAGCCCUUGUUACUUAGUUGAACGUGGGCAUUCGAAUGUACCAACACUAGUGGGCCAUUUUUGGUAAGCAGAACUGGCGAUGCGGGAUGAACCGAACGCGGGGUUAAGGCGCCAGAGUGUACGCUCAUCAGACACCACAAAAGGCGUUAGUACAUCUUGACAGCAGGACGGUGGCCAUGGAAGUCGGAAUCCGCUAAGGACUGUGUAACAACUCACCUGCCGAAUGUACUAGCCCUGAAAAUGGAUGGCGCUCAAGCGUACCGCCCAUACCCCGCCCCCAGGGUAGAAACGAUGCCCUGGGGAGUAGGCGGCCGUGGGGGUCUGUGACGAAGCCUAGGG
rnacentral:rRNA from 1 species